GACGAACGCUGGCGGCGUGCUUAACACAUGCAAGUCGAACGGAAAGGCCCUGCUUGCAGGGUGCUCGAGUGGCGAACGGGUGAGUAACACGUGGGUGAUCUGCCCCUUAUUUUGUGAUAAGCCUGGGAAACUGGGUCUAAUACUGGAUAGGACCAUGCUGUAGGUGGUGUGGUGGAAAGAUUAGUUUCGGUAAGGGAUGAGCUCGCGGCCUAUCAGCUUGUUGGUGGGGUAAUGGCCUACCAAGGCGUCGACGGGUAGCCGGCCUGAGAGGGUGGACGGCCACAUUGGGUCUGAGAUACGGCCCAGACUCCUACGGGAGGCAGCAGUGGGGAAUAUUGCACAAUGGGCGCAAGCCUGAUGCAGCGACGCCGCGUGGGGGAUGACGGCCUUCGGGUUGUAAACUCCUUUCAGCCAUGACGAAGCCCUUGUGGUGACGGUAGUGGUAGAAGAAGCACCGGCUAACUACGUG
rnacentral:rRNA from 1 species